rnacentral:rRNA from 1 species
CCUACGGGAGGCAGCAGUGGGGAAUAUUGGACAAUGGGCGAAAGCCUGAUCCAGCAAUGCCGCGUGAGUGAUGAAGGCCUUAGGGUUGUAAAGCUCUUUUACCAGGGAUGAUAAUGACAGUACCUGGAGAAUAAGCUCCGGCUAACUCCGUGCCAGCAGCCGCGGUAAUACGGAGGGAGCUAGCGUUGUUCGGAAUUACUGGGCGUAAAGCGUACGUAGGCGGUUAUUCAAGUCAGAGGUGAAAGCCUGGAGCUCAACUCCAGAACUGCCUUUGAAACUAGAUAGCUAGAAUCUUGGAGAGGUGAGUGGAAUUCCGAGUGUAGAGGUGAAAUUCGUAGAUAUUCGGAAGAACACCAGUGGCGAAGGCGACUCACUGGACAAGUAUUGACGCUGAGGUACGAAAGCGUGGGGAGCAAACAGGAUUAGAUACCCUGGUAGUCCACGCCGUAAACGAUGAUAACUAGCUGUUCGGGCUCUACGAGCUUGAGUGGCGCNGACUACGACAUUAAGUUAGUCCGUCCGUCGGGAGGUACGGUCGCGAGAGUAAACGUACGUAAGAAGUUAGUAGCGUUGAGAGNGCGACGGACGACGACGAGGGAGGAGG